UAGAUGCGAGAGUAGAGCAUAUCAAUAAGCGGAGGAAAAGAAACUAACAAGGAUUCCCUAGUAACGGCGAGUGAAGCGGGAAGAGCUCAAAUUUGAAAUCUUCAAGGUUCCUACCUUGACGAAUUGUAGUUUAAAGAAGUGUUUUCUGUUGGAGUUUUGGUAAAAGUUCUUUGGAAUAGGACAUCAUAGAGGGUGAGAAUCCCGUAUUUGACCAUUAUUUCCAACUUUGUGAUACACUUUCAAAGAGUCGGAUUGUUUGGGAAUGCAGUCCAAAAUGGGUGGUAAAUUUCAUCUAAAGCUAAAUACUGGCGAGAGACCGAUAGCGAACAAGUACCGUGAGGGAAAGAUGAAAAGAACUUUGAAAAGAGAGUUAAACAGUACGUGAAAUUGUCAAAAGGGAAGCGUUUGACACCAGUGUUGUUUUCUCGAAAAUCAAUUAAAAAUGGCUGGGAUGUUGUGUUGUAUUGACUUUAUCAGCUUUCUGCACUUUUUUCCUAUCUUUUUUAAUGCACUUUUCGUUUAACAAGUCAACAUCAAUUUCUUUUGUUGUAAAAGGGUCAUUGGAAGGUGGCUUUCUUUUCGGAGAAAGUGUUUAUAGCCUUUGGCUUCUGCAAUCGGAGAGAUUGAGGUCUGCAGCGUAGAUCCUUCGGGGUUAGAUACAUUUGUGCUAAGCUAUAGCCUUUCAUAGACAACUUGUUGACUAUGAUCAGUCAUGUAGCUUACUCGCUUAUGCUAUUUUACCUACGCUUAGGAUGUUGACGAGACUGUCGAUCUC
rnacentral:rRNA from 1 species